rnacentral:lncRNA from 1 species
AACAAUGACUAUUCAAGUAAUGCAAUAUGCCAACAUUACAGAAAAUAUGAAGGGCUAAUCUUUUUCUAGUGCAUAGUCUUUUCAUGCAAGUGAAUGUUAUCUUUAUGUUUGUACUUUAUGUGUGUAUAUUUUGUACUCUACAUGACCUAUUUUCAUUUACAAUUAGGAAACUCUCAAAACCUGUUCUCAAGAGCAGGUUU